GAUAAAUUUUUUAUGGUUUUAUAAUUUAUUAUAAAUUUAUUUUACAUAUAAAUUUUAGUGUUAAUUUUUAAUUAUUUUAAUAAUAUUUAAUUAAAAAUUAUAGUAAUUAAAAUUAAAAAUUUAAGAAAUUAAGAUUUAGUAAUAUAGAAAUUAAUAACUAAUUUUGUGCCAGCAGUUGCGGUUAAACAGAAGUUAAAUUAAAUUAUUUCAAUAUAUAAUUAAUAAAUAAAUUUAAAAUAAAUUUUAAAUUAUUAAGUGAAAUUUUAAUUUAAAUAAAUUUUAUUAAAUAAUUAUGAUUUAAUAAAUUUUAAUAUAAACUAGGAUUAGAUACCCUAUUAUUAAAAAUUUAAUUAAAAAUAUUAAAAUAGUAAAUAAUAUAUUAUUGAAACUUAAAUAAUAUGGCGGUAUUUUAGUUCAUUUAGAGGAAUCUGUCUAGUAAUUGAUAAUCCACGAAUAAAUUUACUUAAUUUAAAAUUUUGUAUAUCAUUGUUAAAAAAAUAUUUUAAAAUAAAAAUAAUAUUUAAAAAUUUAAAUUUAAAAUUAAUUCAGAUCAAGAUGCAGAUUAUAAUUAAGAUAUUGAUGGGUUACAAUAAAUUUAUUUAAAUGGAAAAAUUUUUGUAAAAAUUAUUAAAAGUGGAUUUAAAUGUAAUUUUAUUUAAUUUAUUAAAAUGAUUAAAAAUUAAAAUAUGUACAUAUUGCCCGUCACUUUCAUUUUAAAGUUGAAAUAAGUCGUAACAAAGUAGAAGUACUGGAAAGUGUUUCUAGAAUGAA
rnacentral:ncRNA from 1 species